rnacentral:rRNA from 1 species
GAAUUGACGGGACCGCACAAGUGGUGGAGCAUGUGGUUAAUUCGAAGAUACACGAAGAACCUUACCUGGCCUUGACAUGUACGGAACCCUUUAGAGAUAGAGGGGUGCUCGAAAGAGAGCCGUAACACAGGUGCUGCAUGGCUGUCGUCAGCUCGUGUCGUGAGAUGUGGGUUAAGUCCCGCAACGAGCGCAACCCUCGCUGUGUGUUACAAGUGUCACACGGAACUGCCGGUCAUAAACCGGAGGAAGGUGGGGAUGACGUCAAGUCAGCAUGGCCUUUAUAUCCUGGGCUACACACACGCUACAAUGGGAAGGGACAAUAGGUUGCGAAGCCGCGAGGCGGAGCCAAUCCAGCAAAACUUCCCUCAGUUCAGAUUGCAGGCUGCAACUCGCCUGCAUGAAGUUGGAGUUGCUAGUAAACGCAGGUCAGCCAUACUGCGUUGAAUACGUUCCCGGGGCUU